AUUUAUAUAAUGGUUUUUAAUUAUGAUUUUAUAUUUAUAUUAAAUUAAAUAAAUUUUUUGUUUUUGUACAAUUUAUAGAUAAAAUUAUAUUUACUAUAGUGAAUUUAUACUGUAAAGGAAAUUUAAAGGGUUACUGUAUAAUUAUUUAAAGGUAAUUUUAUUGAUUGUAUCUUGUGUAUCAGAGUAUAUUAAAAUGGUUUAUAAAUUUUAUUUAUCUCGAAUUUAAAUGAUUUAAUUUAGUAAAUUAAUUAUUGUGUCAAAAAUAUUAAAUAUACUUUAUUGGUAAUGAGAUGUUUAACGUUUUUAAGGAUAUCUAGUUUUUUAAUAAACGAAUUUAAUUCGGGAAGUAUAAUAUUAUUUUUUAUUUGAUUAUAAAGAUAUUAAGUAUUUUUAAUUUUAAGGGGGAUAAGCUUUUUAAAAAAUAAAUUUAUAAUAAUUUUUUAUUGAAGUUAGAAUUAAGUGAAUUUAGAAUUUGUUAUUGGAUUAAGGAUGUUAAAAUUUAAUUUUUGUUUUUAUAUAAUUUUAUUUUUAUUUAAUUUUUAUAUUAAAAUGUAAAGUAGAAUUGUUUAAUUUAAGUAAAGAUGAUUUAAUUAGUAAAAUGUUUAAUUUGUAAAAUAUGAGUUAAUUGAAAUAUAUUUAUAAAGAAUUAGGUAAAUAUUUUACUCACCUGUUUAUUAAAAACAUGGUUUCUUUAUAUAUUUGGGAAAUCUGACCUGCCCACUGAAAAUUUUUAAAGGGCCGCGGUAUUUUGACCGUGCGAAGGUAGCAUAAUCAUUAGUCUUUUAAUUGAAGGCUUGUAUGAAUGGUUGGAUGAGGUAAAUUCUGUUUUAUAUUUAUUUAAUUGAAUUUAGAUUUUAAGUAAAAAUACUUAAGUAUUAUUAAGGGACGAGAAGACCCUAUAGAGUUUAAUAAGUGUAUAAAUUAUUUGAGUUAAAAAUUAAUUUAAAUUAUUGUAAAAUUUAUUUAAUUGGGGUGAUUAAAAGAUAAGUAAAACUCUUUUUGGUUUUUAAUAUUAUAAUUAGUAAUGUGAUCCAUAAAUAAUGAAUAAAAGAUUAAAUUACCUUAGGGAUAACAGCAUAAUUUUUUUUAAGAGUUCUUAUCAAAAAGAAAGAUUGUGACCUCGAUGUUGGAUUAAGAUUAGUUUUGGGUGUAGAUGUUCAUGAACUAGGUCUGUUCGACCUUUAAAAUCUUACAUGAUCUGAGUUUAAACCGGCGUAAGCCAGGUUGGUUUCUAUCUUUAAUUUUAUUAAAUAUUUUAGUACGAGAGGACCAAAUAUUUAAAAUAAUUUUAUUAUUAUUGAAUUUUAUUAAUUU
rnacentral:rRNA from 1 species